rnacentral:rRNA from 1 species
CGUAACAAGGUUUCCGUAGGUGAACCUGCGGAAGGAUCAUUAUCCAUCUCAAACCAGGUGCGGUCGCGGCCCCCGGGGGCUUGCUCCCGGGUGGUAGGGGUAACACCCUCACGCGCCGCCUGCCUGUACCCUCUUUUUACGAGCACCUUUCGUUCUCCUUCGGCGGGGCAACCUGCCGCUGGAACCAAAACAAAACCUUUUUUGCAUCUAGCAUUACCUGUUCUGAUACAAAUAAUCGUUACAACUUUCAACAAUGGAUCUCUUGGCUCUGGCAUCGAUGAAGAACGCAGCGAAAUGCGAUAAGUAGUGUGAAUUGCAGAAUUCAGUGAAUCAUCGAAUCUUUGAACGCACAUUGCGCCCCUUGGUAUUCCAUGGGGCAUGCCUGUUCGAGCGUCAUCUACACCCUCAAGCUCUGCUUGGUGUUGGGCGUCUGUCCCGCCUCUGCGCGCGGACUCGCCCCAAAUUCAUUGGCAGCGGUCUUUGCCUCCUCUCGCGCAGCACAAUUGCGUCUGCGGGGGGGCGUGGCCCGCGUCCACGAAGCAACAUUACCGUCUUUGACCUCGGAUCAGGUAGGGAUACCCGCUGAACUUAAGCAUAUCAAUAAGCGGAGGAAAAGAAACCAACAGGGAUUGCCCUAGUAACGGCGAGUGAAGCGGCAACAGCUCAAAUUUGAAAUCUGGCUCUCUUUGGGGGUCCGAGUUGUAAUUUGCAGAGGAUGCUUUGGCAUUGGCGGCGGUCUAAGUUCCUUGGAACAGGACAUCACAGAGGGUGAGAAUCCCGUACGUGGUCGCCUGCCCUUGCCGUGUAAAGCUCCUUCGACGAGUCGAGUUGUUUGGGAAUGCAGCUCUAAAUGGGAGGUAAAUUUCUUCUAAAGCUAAAUACUGGCCAGAGACCGAUAGCGCACAAGUAGAGUGAUCGAAAGAUGAAAAGUACUUUGGAAAGAGAGUCAAAAAGCACGUGAAAUUGUUGAAAGGGAAGCGCUUGCAGCCAGACUUGCCCGCAGUUGCUCACCUAGGCUUUCGCCUGGGGCACUCUUCUGCGGGCAGGCCAGCAUCAGUUUGGGCGGUUGGAUAAAGGCCUCUGUCACGUAUCUCCCUUCGGGGUGACCUUAUAGGGGAGGCGCAAUGCAACCAGCCCGGACUGAGGUCCGCGCAUCUGCUAGGAUGCUGGCGUAAUGGCUGUAAGCGGCCCGUCUUGAAACACGGACCAAGGAGUCUAACAUCUAUGCGAGUGUUUGGGUGUCAAGCCCGAGCGCGCAAUGAAAGUGAACGGAGGUGGGAACCCUUUGGGUGCACCAUCGACCGAUCCUGAUGUCUUCGGAUGGAUUUGAGUAAGAGCAUAGCUGUUGGGACCCGAAAGAUGGUGAACUAUGCUUGAAUAGGGUGAAGCCAGAGGAAACUCUGGUGGAGGCUCGCAGCGGUUCUGACGUGCAAAUCGAUCGUCAAAUUUGGGCAUAGGGGCGAAAGACUAAU